AUUGCCCCAGUAACGGCGAGUGAAGCGGCAACAGCUCAAAUUUGAAAUCUGGCUUCGGCCCGAGUUGUAAUUUGUAGAGGAUGCUUUUGGUGCGGUGCCUUCUGAGUUCCCUGGAACGGGACGCCAGAGAGGGUGAGAGCCCCGUAUAGUUGGACACCAAGCCUUUGUAAAGCUCCUUCGACGAGUCGAGUAGUUUGGGAAUGCUGCUCUAAAUGGGAGGUAUAUCUCUUCUAAAGCUAAAUAUAGGCCAGAGACCGAUAGCGCACAAGUAGAGUGAUCGAAAGAUGAAAAGCACUUUGAAAAGAGGGUUAAAUAGUACGUGAAAUUGUUGAAAGGGAAGGGCUUGUGACCAGACUUGUGCCGGGCUGAUCAUCCACGGUUCUCCGUGGUGCACUCUGCCCGGCUCAGGCCAGCGUCGGUUCUGGCAGGGGGACAAAAGCUUAGGGAACGUGGCUCCUCCGGGAGUGUUAUAGCCCUCUGCUCAAUACCCUUGCCGGGACCGAGGUUCGCGCUCUGCAAGGACGCUGGCAUAAUGGUCAUCAGCCAC
rnacentral:rRNA from 1 species